AAAAAUUGUCGGGUUUCCAAAUCCUCUCUGCUCCCUAUAUCUGAUUUUCCUAUUCUCCCAACACCAUUAAUGUUUGUUCUUCCAAGUACAUGAAAAAAAAUGGACAUGCAGAUGAUGAAGCCGUUUCAAGCUACAUGCACUCGAUAGAAACUCUUUUAUUCACAUAAAUGUAAAGUCCAUUUUCUAUAAUUUAUGGAAGAUCCACACGUAUGUAUGUUGGGAGCAUUAUUUUCUUGUGCACUAAAAGCAGAUGAUAAUCUUCCAAAUUCCACGACUUCUAUUGUCCCUGCCUUUAGAGUUCUCCAAUUUAAAGUCAUUUUCAGAGUCUUUACCAUUUGACGCCUAGCAAGUGAAAAUGUAAUAAUUUCCAGGAAAACCAUGAACAUCUAUCGAGACUGAAAUCAUGCAAAGGGGUACCACACUACACAGCUUGAAAAUUUCCAGGAAAGCUGUGAAAAUCUAUCAAGACGGAAACCAAGCAGAGCAAAGGUGUUACACAACUUAAUAAUAAUAAUAAUAAUAA
rnacentral:misc_RNA from 1 species